ensembl:lncRNA
UACAUUUACAAAAGUUACUAAAGUGGAAGAAAAUAAAAACUGUAACUGGUGAUCUCUCUCUGGGCAUUUGUUCUCGGUAGGUUAUGAAGAUAUUCUUCGAUCGUUAUGUGUUUGUAGUUUUACUUUUUCAGGGUUGAGUUAGCACGUUUAUUGUGUAAUGUAUUUUCUGAAAUUAUACGUUUUUGUUUUCCAUUAUUUCAUCAAAUGUGAAAAGCAUAAAUAUCUACUUCUAUCUUGUUGAUAAUGUUUAAAAACACAGAAGGAGCCCGUUUAAUCUUUCGUAUUAAAAAUGAAGCUGCUGUGAGGACGUUGAACACGGCGCUGUCUCUGGUGCUGAAAUUAGUUUGAUUCCACUGCACUUAGCUAUAAUUUUGUAUUUUCUAAUUAGUUGUUUUUGUAUUCAGUGUCCUUUUUUCAUUCAUUUUUUUAAGUGUAGUGUAGGUUUUUUUCUGUUAAUUCAGAUUUUUUUUCCACACCUCAUUUUAUUUUGUAGCUUAGCUUCGGUUAACUACAUUAACUCUUCUAUAAAUAAACACAAAUAUCUUUAUGCCCAGUUUGUGGUGUAUAAAUAGCUCUAUUGUAAAGAUGUGUAGAGGUGAAGGGCUAAUUGAUCAAGUAGUGGGGCGGUCACGUGCCCGCCCAAGUCCAUGGGUUCACUGUUGAGUUCUCAUUAAUUUCUGGGGCUAUUCCGCCACAUUUGAUAGUUUGCGUUAUUCAGCUAUAACUAAAUAAACUAAUCAAAUGACCGAGUGACGUAAAGUCAUCCGCAUGACCAUUUUUAUCACUGCCAAUUCUAUCACAGCACCCUGCUGCUUUUCUGUUUCUUUCCCCGUAGGAUUGUCUCCCACUUCUUUAAUGUCAUUUCUCUCCCUUACCUAUCCUCUUGUGAAUUAUGAAUUCCGCCGCUUUUCACAGGCUUAAUGUCAGAGUUACAGAUAUAUGGGACAGCUCAGGAACUGCACUGUAUCACAAAGUCUUCCACCGUGUAAACCUGAAAUCAGUGUUGCAGCUGACCUGUUCCGCUGUGG